AGUCCAUGCGAGCCUGUCUCUAAUAUUGAAGAUUUAUAUAUCUUAAUGGACAAGAACCCCAAAGGUUCAAUGUUGCGCUCCUCAUGCUACCUGGAAGACCCUGAGCCUCUGUGGGGCAGGAAGAAAGGGACUCAGUUUGUGCUUGACUACAGCAAGUGGAUGCGCCCCCUCCAACUAAAUCAUUCUGGAACAUGAAAGGUCUCAGAUUUUACCUCUGUGGGUAAGGAAAGAAGAGAUUAAUGACCCCUGAUUUAAUUAUUUAAUAUGGAAUCAUUGUCCUGAGUCAGGAGCGUAGAUGAGAAUAAAGAAUGAGCACAGCUGAUGUGGCUUCCUGGCUACCUUCUGGGGAAGAUCUUGCCUGUUUCCCUCUGGAAAAGAUUGCUCAUCCCUCAGAAGCAAUGGCUUUGGUCUGCUUUAAGCACUGGACCCCGCUCACAAACCCUACACUUUUUCUCGAUUUACACGAAGACCACAAAACCUGUGUGAGUAAUAUUUAAAAGUAUUGUUUUUCUCAAUAGGAUGCUCUGUUUUAUUAUAGAGUAUCAGUGAUAUCUGAGCAAAUGAUCUGGUUGUUCUGAAGAAGAAAACACAGCCAUAGGCACACAUUACUAGAGAAGAAGAAGGCUAACACGGACCGAUGAUGACAAGGGUCAGCACUAUAAGUCACUGACGAUGACUAUAAUUUUUCUGUCUGAGGUUCACAAAACAACACAUCUCAGGUGCUCCCUCCGUUAGCCAGGGGAUGGAAGUUAGGCCUGUGGAGUACGCACUGUGCAUCAGAAUCAGGCACUUUUAGGCAUCUUCUUUUCUCAGUGGAUCAAUGAAACACGAUACAAAUAUAUACAAAAAUGCAAAUGUAAAUGAACAUUUUGAGACAUCAAUUAGAAAAUAAAUAUUUGACUACAAAUUCUGCUACGACAUGGAGAAAACACAGAAGCCAGUUAAGAUUAAUGGCAUAAAGAUUAUAUAAAAUGUAUCCAAGUUCACAUACGAAGUGUAAUUAAUGGGUUAGGCUCCAGUAUGGGAUAACACCUUAAUUUUAAUUUUGAGUCUUACUUGAUUUCUCCAGACAACAUCCUAACAACCUGAAUCCUAAAUAACAAAUAUUGAAAGGAGAAAUGUAGACAUAAUUUGAAAAAUAUCAAAUCUUUUUAUUUUUUUUUCCGGCGUUGUACUCUCUGGAUGGCUGAUGACUGACCCAUUGUUUCCUGGCUGGGAGGUCCAUGGUUUUCCUAGCCUCACGUUUAACGAUCAAGGGAACUGACGAGCUUAUGAAGACAGGAUGCCUGAGGAUUCCACAGGAAGUAAAAUGAUAAGAACCUUCUUUGUAUUGUCAGAGCAAUGUCCAGUGUUUCUGUCCUUAGUAGAUCAUAUGACAGUGUCCUACAGAUUUAGAAUGGAUUCCGCCCCCACGCGGAUUUUCACUCUCCCUCAUUCAUGAGCUUCAUAACGAGCUGUUUUAGACUGUAACACAGACAGUAAUGGAUACCCUGCAAGCUGUUUUAUACAGUCUAACUUGAAACGGAACCUCGUGAUCCAGCCUCUGUGUUCGCAGGAAAGACACCGUAAUGGCUGCCCUAAGCUGAUGUAUAAAUUCUUCCUUGCUCGUGAGAUUCCUGCUCUAAUCCUUGUAGCCCGAAGAGAGAUACAUUUGCAUGUAGUUAGUGUUCAUGCCUCCAACUUGGUACUUUUAAAGACUAUGCACACUAUUGUUGAAAGACUACUCGUCCACUGGAAGACCGACUAUGUCCAAACGAAUGGAGCCACCAGGCUGAUCUUUGGUCAUGAGCAAUAUAGACACAGUGAUGGAUUUCUCCCCAAAGAUGAUUCACACCUUCUUUGGUGAUCUUCAUGGUCAGCUCUUUGGGUUCAUAAUAUAGACACAGUAACAGAUACCCCAAAGCUGAUUUUAGACAUUCGUCCUCUGUUACCAGCUUCUUGAUCUGCUGUUUGUUCGUGGCAUAGAUACAGUAAUGGAUGUCAUUGAGCUGAUUUUACAUUCUCCCUCUGUCAUGAGUAUUGUGAUCAACUCUAUUGAUUGAUAACAUUGUCACAGUAGAUGAAUAUACUACAGCUGACUUCUACAUUCAUCCUUCAUUAUGAGGCCCGUGAUCUGCUCUCUGUUCAUAUGAUAGAUGCUGUAAUAGACGCCUUCAUCACUGGUCACCGGGUUCAUGCAUCAUAGGGACCCACCAUAGAUGCUUUCUGACUGAUGUUCACAUUCUGGUCAACGAGUCGACAGUUACCCUACAUGUCAGGAAGACAGAGACCAAUAAAGGCCAAAUCCAGAACAAUGGGUGGAUUCUGCCUGGUCCUCACCUCCAAGGUUGCCUGUGUUGUUAGGGUCAUGGCUACAAUCGGAUCAGGGAACCCUAUGGAAGAGGAGGUGCAAGGAUUGUAAGGCCCAAUGAGAAUGGAGGACACCAAGGAAACGAGGCCUUCUAGAUACAGUAGGACCGAUGCAGAUCUGAACUCAUAGAGACUGUGACAGUGUGCAUGGGGCCUGCACAGGUCUAAGCCAGAUGGGGUCCCAGCACUGAAAGGGGCAGUGGACACAAGCCCCCAUCCCUAACUCGGAAGCUAUCUCCACUCGAUAGACUCGCUCAGAGGAAAAACUCUUUUUCUCCAAUGGAAUCUCCCUGGAUACAUAGACCACUCCUAAGAGCAGGCUCCAUGCUCAGAUGACCAAUACAAAAUGAACUCGAUGGCAUUUUUGGAAGACCUUGUGACACAUAUUGCUUUGUCUGGGUAUUUUUUCUUACCCAACAGACAUUUUGCUUGUAUAUUGAGGUUUCUGGUAUUAGUUUUUAUGAGUUUUAUAUGUCUGUGAUUGUAUGCGUCUCAGAGCCUGUAUUUGUUUCUGGUGAUUUUACAUAGGCUCUUUUUUUUUUUUUUGGCUUAUUCUGUUUUGUUUGCCUUUAUAUUUCCUCCUCCUUAGUUUAGGAGGAAAUGUAAUGAGUUUAGGAGGAAAUGUAAUGAGACAAUAGAAUAAUUAGUGGGAAUUUGGGUGGGUGUGUAAAUAGGGAGGAGAUGGGAGGUGUUGGGGGAUGGGAAACCAUAAUACAAAUAUAUUG